rnacentral:rRNA from 1 species
AGCGAACGCUGGCGGCGUGCUUAACACAUGCAAGUCGAACGUGAAAUGUAGCAAUACAGAGUAAAGUGGCGUACGGGUGAGUAACACGUGGGUAAUCUACCAAAGAGCCUGGAAUAACCGACCGAAAGGUUGGCUAAUACUGGAUAGUUCAAAUGAAAUAUAAUGUUUCGAUUGGGAAAGGGAGCGAGCAAUCGCAUUCAAUUGUUGAUGAGCCCGCGUCUGAUUAGCUAGUUGGUAGGGUAAUGGCCUACCAAGGCGACGAUCAGUAGCUGGUCUGAGAGGAUGAUCAGCCACACUGGAACUGAAACACGGUCCAGACUCCUACGGGAGGCAGCAGUGGGGAAUCUUGCGCAAUGGACGAAAGUCUGACGCAGCCACGCCGCGUGAGUGAAGAAGGCCUUCGGGUUGUAAAGUUCUGUCGGAAGGGACAAAAACGUUUAAGGUUAAUAGCCUUAGAUCUUGAUGGUACCUUCAAAGGAGGCACCGGCUAACUUCGUGCCAGCAGCCGCAGUAA